GGGGAUAUGGCGGAAUCGGUAGACGCUUCGGACUUAAAAUCCGUUGACUCUUUGAGUCGUGAGGGUUCAAGUCCCUCUAUCCCCA
rnacentral:tRNA from 2 species